rnacentral:rRNA from 1 species
GACGAACGCUGGCGGCGUGCUUAACACAUGCAAGUCGAACGGAAAGGCCUGCUUUCCCUUGUGGAUUGCGGGUACACGAGUGGCGAACGGGUGAGUAACACGUGAGUGACCUGCCCCCAACCUGGGGAUAAGCCUGGGAAACUGGGUCUAAUUCCCGAUAGGACUGCAGGGUGGUGCCGGUGGUGGAAAACGAUUUUCUAGUGGGUGGGGAUGAGCUCGCGGCCUAUCAGCUUGUUGGUGGGGUAAUGGCCUAUCAAGGCGGCGACGGGUAGCCGGCCUGAGAGGCUGGCCGGCGACAGUGGGAGUCAAAUACGGGCCAGACACCUACGGCAGGCAGCAGCGGGGAACAGUGGUGGGUAGGCGGGAACAAGAUGCGGAGGCGCGGUGUAGGGAAUGACGGUGUUGGAGUACUAACCUCGUGUCGACCGCGAGGAAGGCACGUGGCUAAAAGGGUGGUGACGGUAGUGGUAGAAGAAGCACCGGCUAACUACGUG